rnacentral:rRNA from 1 species
AUGACGAAAGUAGAGGUGCAAGUGGAGCAAUGGCAAGAACAUGGGAUCCAAGUGAUGGUGCUACUGAGCUUCGCGAUGCAGCUAGUGCUUCUCGUCCUGGCGGAGUUUCGUCGGCGCAUAGACUCUGGUGUGCUAAGGGCGGUGAUUUGGUCAGCUUACAUGUUGGCCGACUCAAUAGCGAUAUACAUCUUGGGACACUUGUCCGUGACAAGCAGGUCAGAGGACCACGAGUUGAUGGCGUUUUGGGCACCAUUUCUGCUAUUGCACCUUGGCGGGCAGGACAACAUCACUGCAUACGCUAUCGAGGACAACCGGCUCUGGCUACGGCACCUACAAACGCUCGUCGUGCAGGUCGCUGCGGCUACCUACAUCCUCUAUGAGUCCAUCGUCGUCAGCAACCACACCCUGCUCCGGAAUGCUGCCGUCCUGAUGUUCGUGUUGGGCGUUGUCAAGUAUGGGGAGAGGGUGUGGGCUAUCAAGUGUGCUGACACUAGAGCAUCGGGCAGCAGCUACAAGUUCUACGAGACAGGAGAAUUUAUUAAAACUAAACCUCCAAUAGAACGGCCGGACACAGAGGGCUUGUUGCAGAUAGCCCACCUCUUGUUGGAUGUUCCAAAGGAUCUCUUUCAGGGGCCAUUGACCAACGUAAUGGUGAUACACCAGGACGUCAUCAUCCCCACAAAUGAGCUGUACAAGGUGGUGGAGAUGCAGCUCAGCCUAAUGCACGACGUUGUGUACAGCAAGGCGGGGGUGAUUCACACAUGGUAUGGCAUUUGCAUUCGCUUCAUUUCUCCAGUUUUCGCCACCGCCACAUUCAUUCUAUUCCAUAGGUCGGCCUUGUCGAUGGGUGAUCCACACUAUAGCAGAGCAGAUGUUGCCAUCACGUAUGUCCUGUUAGGUGGGGCUGUUACAUUGGAGAUAAUAUCAGUGCUGAGGGUCGUGUUCUCGAGAUGGCUAAGUGUGAUACUAGGGAAGUCAGCCUAUGACUUCAUGGGAAAAGAAAGGCCCAUGUGGGGUUUCCUUGCUCGUGCAGUCACAUCUGUUCGGCGAUUCCUCCUUCCAGAGAGAAACUGGUCGAGAUGGUGGUGGUCAUGCUCUAUGGGGCAACAUAACCUGUUGAACUUGUGUGUUGGCAGCAGGGCCAGUCGACGAAGCAGGAUCGCGGGCUGGAUGGGGCUUGAGGACCGGUGGAAUACAAUGGUCUACUCACGCUCCAUCCCUGUCUCCACAACUAUCAAGGAACUAGUGAUGAAACAAGUGCAAGGGAGUAGUCCAGGCAAGAGCACUGGGCGGUCCCCCGCCAAGUUGACAGAUGAGAAGCCAGACAACAUCAUCAAUUCGCAAGGGCGGGCAGCCUUAAAGAAGUGGGAUUCGUACGACAGACUAGGCAAGUUCGUGUAUAUGGAGUUGGAUGAGAGUAUCCUCGUGUGGCACAUCGCCACCGAUAUCUACCUACGUUGGUACAAAGAUCAGACGCAAGCUGCUGAAGAUGAUGUGUGUCAACUGGCCAAGGCAACGGAGGCGAUUUCCAAUUACAUGGUUUUCCUCCUCGCGGCACGCCCCUACAUGUUGCCGGACUCUGUCGGCCGCACUAGGUAUGUUAAUGUGUGCUUCGGUCUCACCGCCCUCAAGUACAAGACAAUCUAUGAUUUAACCAGCUUACUAACAUCGCCGCAUGAGGAUGGGUACAUUGGGUUGCAAAACAUAAAAAAUAAUCAUGGAAUUGGAAUAGGAAGAUUCUUUAAAGACAACACAACAGUGAAGGCGGCACAGGAGCUUGCUCGUGAGCUGAUCUCUCCGAAGUCUGGCAUACCUACCGAGCGGGGGAUGCUCGCGGAAGUGUGGGUCGAGAUGAUGUGCUAUGCGGGGUAUAGAUGCAGCGGAUAUUCUCAUGCGAAGCAGUUGAGCAACGGUGGCGAACUCCUCACCGUUGUUGCCCUUGUGGUGGAGUACUAUAGAAGAGGAAUCCUGAAACCUUUGAGUAGUGCAAAAAAGGAGGAGGAGGAAGGAAGGCCAGCAGUCAACCAUGAUGUUGCUGGUAACCUGGAGGCGACGAUAGAGAUCGUCCUGCAACCUACUAGCAUUGAACCGAUGUCCCCAUCUCCCUCUCGCUCUCCUGAGGAACCCCGGAGCCUCUCUUAUGAGUCCAAGGAUGAGAUAUCCCCGGUCUGA